CAGCCGCCACGGUAACACGGAGGGGGCUAGCGUUGUUCGGAAUGACUGGGCGUAAAGGCGCGUAGGCGGCUGUUACAGUCAGACGUGAAAUUCCUGGGCUCAACCUGGGGGCUGCGUUUGAUACGUGAUGGCUUGAGUUCGGAAGAGGGUCGUGGAAUUCCCAGUGUAGAGGUGAAAUGCGUAGAGAUCGGGAGGAACAUCAGUGGCGAAGGCGACUAUCUGGGCCAACACUGACACUGAGGCAUGAAAGCGUGGGGAGCAAACAGGAUUAGAUACCCCUGUAGUCCCUGCCUCUUAUACA
rnacentral:rRNA from 1 species